rnacentral:RNase_P_RNA from 1 species
GGCGCAGACUGUCCUGUCGCUCCCUGUCAUCCUGAGCUUGUCGAAGGAACAGGGGGAGGAAAGUCCGGGCAACACAGGGCACCCUGCUUCCUAACGGGAAGGCGCCUGUUAUCCUGAGCUUGUCGAAGGAGCGGGCGACAGCAAGUGCCACAGAAAAUAAACCGCCGCGAAAUUCAUUUCGGGGUAAGGGUGAAAACGCGGGGUAAGAGCCCACGGCUUUGCGCAGCGAUGUGCAUUGCGGUAAACCUCAGGGGUUGAAAGGCCAAAUAGGUCGGCGCACGUAGGGCGGCCCGCCCGAUGCCGAUGGGUAGGCUGCUGGAGGCUGCGCGUGAGUGCAGUCCAAGAUCAAUGACAGGACACGACAGAACCCGGCUUACAGGUCUGCGUAUGAA